UUUUAGAUCACUAUAAUUUUUCAAAAAAUGAGAAUAAUGAUUAUAAGAAAUGCCAAACAAAUCAUUUUAAGCCCUCUUGGCAGAUCUGGUGUUAAUUGUACUAAAGACGUUUCAUCUUCCAUACAAAUCUGCGACUCAUCGGCCAUUAUAUAACUAUUUUUUAAUACGUUGGAAAGGAGAGAACGAACGAGACAGGAUCAAAGGGCCGUUUCCUACACCGAUAUUAAUUAACGAAUUAGCAACGACGAGAAACCACGUUUCGGAGUGAAUUAAUCCGUUGAAGGGUAGUUUCGUUUCGAGUUAGCAGGGUCUUGGGACGGGAAAAAAGAAGCUCGCAAUAUAAGAAAGGUCGUUGAUAUGCUGAGCCAAUUAGCAACGAAGUCUCGAGGGGCUCAGACUGAAUCUCGUGCUUCAACGUGUUAAACACACGCUGUUCACUCGCUCACGCCACGGUAGUAGUACUACCACCGACCGGCGGGCUCUGUAUUAACUAUGAGUCACGGGAUAUUUUAACAGCGUCUAAUGAUCGCGAAACGUAUCGUGACUCCAGGGUCCCGAGCUCUAAACGCGUGCUAAGUAACGAACUAAUUAGAACGGCCGGUCCACGAUGCCAGGAAUUCCAUCAAUUCUUUAUACAAAUAUAACGCCCGUGCACGGUACACUUUAAUUAGCUUUAAUGGUAGGCGCAUAUGUUUUUAUACCGCGCCUUUAAUUAACUGUAAUUCCAGUGUUAAAUACAGGGGAAAAAUGAGACAGCAGAGUCGGCGCUGGUACCGAGUUUCGUGGACAGUAUCGCCGGUAAACUCGUUCCGGCGGAAAAUUGAAAGGGAAUGGCUGGAAAAUUAGCUACGUGGUGCGAGUAUCACUGGCGAGACCAUGAAAGUUGAACAGUCAGUGACGGGUCGACUGAACUGGAAUCGAUGGGAUCUCUUUCAGAAUGUCUUGUUUUGCGUUCUCCAAUCUCCUGGCAAAUCAAUUGCUCAGCCGUCUCGAGAGGAAGCGCCGCGGCGCGUCGUGUCGUCGGCUGGUUAAACGAACCCCCGACAAACGUGAGCCACUUUCAAACCGACCGCUAGACUUAUUUCUUUGUCCCGUCGAUCGGAAAUGAUCAAUCCAUCUUGACCCUUCCAAUUCUCGUAGAGAACUCGGCGGAAAAGAAAAACAAAGGCGAACUGGGUCCAAAGGGGAUGGCGAACGACAGAUACCUAUAUCGCUGGUCCUGAUGCUUGAAAGGUUGCAAGUAUUUUGGCCGGAAGCCGAGAGGAAGAAAUUUCGAAUGGGUUUAACUCGUUCCAACGGAAAGUUUGGUAUUUCCAUUCGACUCGACGAAGUCGUUCCGAUUUAUCGGUUUCAAAUUAUGUAAAUACGAAAGGCCAAAUCGCUGGGAUUCGAUGAUCAAUUCCGUUUAAUCAACUCCGAAAUGGACGGUAAUACCAAAGUCAGUCGAAUGAGAAUAAAACGAAAGGAGAAUUUGUAAUAGAUACUCGACGUACUUAAUGAAUACACUCGAGUAUGAGAACGUAAGGACGGUUCUUAGCAGCGAGUAGAAUGGACGAAACAAUUUUCGAAUCCGUCUAACCAGCUACGAGUUAUACUACUGAAACGAGUAACGGUGUCUGGCUCGUAUGCCCCGUAUACUCCUAGUGCUCAUCUUCUGAACAAUUUCGUGCUCCGCUUGACUCCGGAGACACGGCGUUCACGUUUUUGGGAUCGGGGGCUCGAAAACGUGUCCGAGCUCGACGUUUGUGGAGACCCCGGAUUUUUUGCCACGUUCAAAGGGAUUACCUCACGGUCUACGGCGCCCGUUUUUCAGUUACAUUUGUCUAAGCUAGACGUACCGGAACCCCUUUGUGUCUGCUGCACAUUCGUUUUUUUCUAUAAUCUUCAUUUUGCAAUUUAUACAUUAACUCAAUGAGUGUACAAUUUGGGAUAAUGAUUCCUGGCUAGUUCCGGCUUAUAUUAAUUUCUCUAGGAGGACGAGAUUAAAAAACAAGAAUAAAUCUAUAUCUUCUUUUCAACGCUCGAUCUGGCGUUAACUUACAACUUUUGUUUCAAAUAUUUUUCGCCAGCGGCAACAGGUAAGCAGAAAAAACUCUCGGAAAAUUUAAACUUUUUUCUCGGAAUUUCGAGAAACACCACCUCCCUAUCGUACUUAUUUCAAAUGCAUUAUUCUCGUUGUACGUGUUAAAAAUAUUCUAUGGUUAGCGUCGAAACAUGAGUUUCCAUCGGUCGCGAGUAGCAAGUUUAACGACCGUGAAAGGAGCGCGGAAGUUGGUUAACGUGUCUGCACAGGCAUGGAAUAGUGCCAAUAGCUGAAAAGUGUCUGUUCCCGAAGGAAGAUCGGGCUUAAUUCGAGAGCGAGCGGGACAGGAGACGGGGAAGAGGUCUAAUAGCCAUCCAGACGGGCGUCGAGACGGCUGAGGAUACGGGCUGCAUUCUCUGAUAACGCUUAUACCCUGUGCCCUAUACCGUGCAAUAUCUCACUCCUAUCAGACAGAUCUGCACCGAGACUGCGACUAAUUCAAGCGCAACGCGAAACUAUACUCAAAACUCUUUUAACUUUCAGAUUUGGUUCGGUAUUAUCCUCAGACACAAUGUCUGCUUUCAGAGAGGAUCUUCCGACAGUUCGACGAGUCCGAGGAUCCUUUGAAAAAAAGAAACACUGAAACAUAGUAAGUAAAUGUUCUAAUUUCACGUUGCAAUUUCUACACACUGGCUCGAGAUUGUGAGUAGAAAUUGUGACGCGAACAGAAACUGGGACAUUUGCUAUAUUGCUGGAAAUCUCGCGGUUACUCUAUUCGUCCUUAAUUUCGUCUGAUUAAUCAUCUUUCAAUUAAGCGGAGGACACGGCUCCAGAUGCAGGGAGGAGCAGAGACUCUCGUUCUCGUUCCACCGGAGAAAAUCGGAAAACAUUGCAGCGGAUUCCGAUGCGGCGGCACAACGUCGCCUAUAAAUAGACGAGCCUUGUUAGCGGUUACAUCGACGCUCGCGUACGUGUCGGAUAGACACACGCCAGAUACACGAGAUUUCUUUUUUUAUAAAGUGGAAAGAAGCAGAGUCCGGCGGCUACCACCGAUACCCGAUAAUCAUUCCGCCCGGCCAAACGAACGACCACAAUGAAUAAUGAAACGACGCCGCGUCCCACCGCGCCUAACCGUUUCCGACGCCCAUUAAGCUUUCUCACCUUUGGGCCAAGGGAUUGCAUCUGUCUAAACCGACAUCGAAUUUCCAAAGAUAGGUAAAAUGUUUAAACGCCUUUCAAUCUUUUCUUUACGAAAUUCUGACUAUUAUACGUUUUAUAGUUACAAUUAUGUUGAACUCGGCUGAUACCGAAAAUGUUUUAUUUCCCAUAAAAAUUGAUAAUCAAUUAGAAAAUCGUACGAUAUUUGAUAGCUCGUUUAACCUAUAGUGUAGGUACUUGGGCUCCGUUCUAAAGAGCAUCGAUUUUCCUUCUCCACCGGUUGUUACACCGGUGUUCCCUUUUCGAACGCAUUCCAGAAGUGGAUUCUCUGAUUUCAACCCCCAACCGAUCGUUAAUAGCGCAUUCAAACAUUCAAGAGGAUCGUCCAACGGGAAGGCUAGCUACUUUGUCAAUUCGGCGAAGGCCUAUUCAGCGUAACGAUGAGCGAACGAAGAGUACAAACGCUUACUUACGAUCGUAACGAACAACCGAGGAGGAUCUCCCCGGAUGGAAAAACGGCGAGGCACGCAGUCAACCGUCACCGGAAUCUGUUUCACGGAUGAUCGAUGAUCGACGAACGAGUCCUUUUGUUCAUCCUCCACGUCGAACGACACUGGAAACAGGCGGACGCGACACGGAUGCAAGGAGAUGACACGUGAAUCUCGGCGGUCCCCCGACGACGAACUCGUGUUCGACGCACGGCGACGGUGAAUCGACGGACACGCCGCGACUCGCGUUUGACGUAAUUCCACCUUCUUCGACGCUCGCCUCUUUUGAUUAGUCAUACGCCGUCGUCCCGUGCGUCGCGUCGUCGCCUCGUUGCAAAUUACGCGGCUGCACUUUUUGACGAUAGGCACGUAUAGCGUUUUAUCUCCCACCUCGUGGCGCGUCGUGAUUUUUCUUUCAGAUAGGCUUCCGUGACGAACAGCUUGUUUAUGCAAGGUGUAUAGAAUUUUCUUUUUUUAAAAAUCUCGUGCAUGAAUUACUCCUUGGUUGUCACUUAUAAAGAAUGAGCAACUCAUGUAAUAUGGAUCGUAUUAAAUCAAAUCUUACGUUCUUACAGUGUUUGAAUUGGAGCGCUGCUGGACGAAUAGGUAAACUGUGAUAUCCUUGAUCCAGCUCAGACACGUGUCUAUCAGUAAAAAUCAUUUGGUAGCCUUCGUGGACUGAUCUUUUAGGCAAAUCGAGAGGAUUCUCGUUAUCAGCGAGGCGUCCCGCUGGGAAUUUGAAUUUCCCUUCCAACAAAAAUUGUUGGAACGCUUACAAGUAGUCUAAUCGUUAUUGGAGGCGAUCCGAUCAUUCUUCGUGGGAUUGGCAGUGGCCGAGAUUUACUCUUCUGAGGUCUCUUCCCUUCCUUGAUUCGACGUUUUAAAUGAAGUAGAGCAUUGAAAACGAGGUAACGUCGAUUCGUUGAUAGAAGAGGUAGUAAAAAGUAUGAAGAAAAAGCUCGCAAGGAAGGAAGAAGAGCGACGAUGGCGAGGACAGGGGGUGGGAAUAGACGGGGCACCGGAAUCGAUGCAGUCUCCUCUGUGGAUUUAGUGCACAGUAGGGGCGCUCACUCCCCCAGGGUAGGAUUAGUCACGAUCCCACUCGGUCGUGAAGUUUCAAAGGUAAAAGGAAAAAGGUGGGACCUCGUAACGAGCUGUCACUUCGUGCCGCUCCAUUAUUCCGGUUCGGAUCAUGUACCGUGUAAUUGAACAGAAUUUUCGCAACGCUGUUUUAAUUGUUUCGCCCCCGGUCGCGACGAGCAUCACGGGUCGUCUGCCGCCGAUCGAUCCCGGAAGUGGGCUAGAUCUGAAAUUGAUAGAAAAGUAACAAAGGACCUUUGGGAAAUGGAAUUGAGCCACGGUCCCGGUUUCCUCGCCUCGCUUAUUUCUCUCAGUCUGCAACGAUUCAAAGGAUGCUCGUGCGAUUAUUAUUCGUCCCACAUAGGAGUAAUUAAAAUGCGUCUGGAUUCGAGUAUAAUAUUAAUAUGCAAGGCAGUACUUAAUGUACGUAGGUUUCCCUUCUGUUACAAUUGGAAACUGGGGUCCAAGGUUUUUUAUAAAAGUAUGAAUUUAUCGAAAGUUCGCAGUCUAUCGAUAAUAUACACAAAAUUGUCCCGGAGGAAGCUCUUGGAGUUAACGAGCUUACUGGGUACCCGAGUUUGUGUAUCCACCUCUGCAUCGACGCUAUCUGAGAAUAGUACGCUCGGCUAGAAACAGGGCUGUCGCGGUCCCCGUUGAAACCCCUGGGAAGUUUCAACCGUUCAUUGCAAAUCGAUAAUUUUAUCAUCAAUCUCCCUGCUCGCAACUGUAUUAUAUUUCUACUUUUCAUUGAACGAUAGAAACUUGUUAUUCGAUACUUCUUUUUGCAAUUCCUCUAAAUUGCCGAACCCACAUCCCACGUAUCUCUCGCGAUCGAUGUAUCUGCGAUCUUUUCUCGUUUUACCAAUCCGAGACGAAUGUAUUGAAUUAUACAAUCGUUAAAAAAAUAAUUUUUAUAAACACUUUUUUUUAUUUA